GAUGAACGCUGGCGGCGUGCUUAACACAUGCAAGUCGAACGGAAAGGCUCCUGCUUGCAGGGGUACUCGAGUGGCGAACGGGUGAGUAACACGUGGGUGAUCUGCCCUGCACUUCGGGAUAAGCCUGGGAAACUGGGUCUAAUACCGGAUAGGACCACAUUUUGGAUGGUGUGGUGGAAAGUUUUUCGGUGUGGGAUGAGCUCGCGGCCUAUCAGCUUGUUGGUGGGGUAAUGGCCUACCAAGGCGUCGACGGGUAGCCGGCCUGAGAGGGUGUACGGCCACAUUGGGACUGAGAUACGGCCCAGACUCCUACGGGAGGCAGCAGUGGGGAAUAUUGCACAAUGGGCGCAGGCCUGAUGCAGCGACGCCGCGUGGGGGAUGACGGCCUUCGGGUUGUAAACUCCUUUCGCUAGGGACGAAGCGCAAGUGACGGUACCUGGAGAAGAAGCACCGGCUAACUACGUG
rnacentral:rRNA from 1 species